GGUAGCACAACAGGGAUUACCUUAGUAACGGCGAGUGAAGCGGUAAAAGCUCAAAUUUGAAAUCUAGCACUUUCAGUGUUCGAGUUGUAAUUUGAAGAAGGUAUCUUUGGAGUUGGCCCCCGUCUAUGUUCCUUGGAACAGGACGUCACAGAGGGUGAGAAUCCCGUGCGAUGGGGAGACCAAUUCUAUGUAAAGUUCCUUCGAAGAGUCGAGUUGUUUGGGAAUGCAGCUCUAAGUGGGUGGUAAAUUCCAUCUAAAGCUAAAUAUUGGCGAGAGACCGAUAGCGAACAAGUACAGUGAUGGAAAGAUGAAAAGAACUUUGAAAAGAGAGUGAAAAAGUACGUGAAAUUGUUGAAAGGGAAGGGCUUUUGAUCAGACUUGGUGUUUAGUACUCUCUACUCCUUGUGGGUGGGGCUCUUGCUUUAUACUGGGCCAGCAUCGGUUUGGAUGGUAGGAUAAUAGCAUUGGAAUGUGGCUUCAUUCGUGAAGUGUUAUAGCCUUUGUUGAUACUACCUAUCUAGACCGAGGACUGCGUCUUUUGACUAGGAUGCUGGCGUAAUGAUUAAAAGCCG
rnacentral:rRNA from 1 species